AAGCAAGUUUAUAUUCCUCUCAAGACAUCUCAGUUUUGCCUGUCUCCAAAAUCUUGGACCAACCAAGUGACCUUGUUACUACUUUCUUCACUUUUUCUCCUAACAUCUCUUUCUCAGUCUCUUCCAGGGUGAAGGAUGGACUUUGGUGUGGUGUGUUCUCUUUUGUACAUGCCUCAGUGAGAUGCACAAAGCACAACUUGGUCAGAUUCACAGAGGCUCUUGUCUCCUCUAACUCUUCCUGACGCAGGUUCCUCUAAUCUGAUGGGACACUCCUGCAAUGAUGCUUCAGCUGUAUUUUAACCUCAAGAAACCCUAAGAUCCCUCACUCCUAUGCUGCUGUCAACGGGAGGCUAAGAAGCACAGAGAAAUAGGCCAUACAAAGUCUACCUCUCUGAACACUCUGGUUUGUUGAGAUGACAGAUGGUUAAGUCUCUCUCUGACAUCAAGAGAUAGAGCCAAAGUUAUCAUGGAAUUGUUUCUUUUGGAAUGUCAAGUUUAUGUGCACCGUAUCACUCUUCUGAAAUGGACUCAAGAUUCAGGGUCUCAUCUCACUUUUGAUUUAACUACACUCAUAUUCAUCCAUGUGUGAAAAAUGGUGAUCACACUAGAAAGCUUGUUCUUACUGUUUCCUUGCAUAUCUGAAUACCUGCAUCACAUUCAAAUCUAACUCACUGCCUUAAUUUAAUAGCUGAAAGAAACACUGAACAAGUCACACUCCUGCAAGGGCAUGGAACACAGAAUGCAUCUUCAACCUUUCUGGACUACAGCACCUGCCAACUGACCCCCACAUCAUGGCUCCAACGCUGGCUUCAUCACAUAUCUUCUCUCUCAGUCCCUUUGGCUCUCAGGGUGCAAUUGCUUAACAAAAUUGCUGAUCUAGGUGCCUCAGCAUUGUUUCUUUGUCACAGUCUCUGUAUUAUCUUAUUCUGAGCCAUUCUUUUCCUGCAAAGAUCCUAACUGAAUGAGAUAACUACUUCAUAAGCUAUUUGUAAGGUUUAAAUAAAUUAAUGCAUAUUUAAUACAUGAAGCUGUGCCUAGUUUAUAGUAAUUACUCAAAAAUGUUACUUAUUUCUCCAUCCAAAACAUACAAACAAUAGUAUAUCCUUC
rnacentral:lncRNA from 1 species